CUACGGGUCGCUCCAGUGAGGAAUUUUGCGCAAUGGGGGGAACCCUGACGCAGCAACGCCGCGUGAGUGAUGAAGGCUUUCGGGUCAUAAAGCUCUGUCAAGUGGGAAGAACCUAUGCAGUGUUAAUAUCACUGUAUACUGACGGUACCACUGAAGGAAGCACCGGCUAACUCCGUGCCAGCAGCCGCGGUAAUACGGGGGGUGCAAGCGUUAUUCGGAAUCAUUGGGCGUAAAGGGCACGUAGGCGGCUUGGUAAGUCAGAUGUGAAAGCCCGGGGCUUAACCCCGGAAGUGCAUUUGAUACUGUCAGGCUUGAGUAUGGGAGAGGGAAGUGGAAUUCCUGGUGUAGAGGUGAAAUUCGUAGAUAUCAGGAGGAACACCGGUGGCGAAGGCGACUUCCUGGACCAAUACUGACGCUGAGGUGCGAAGGCGUGGGUAGCAAACAGGAUUAGAUACCCUGGUAGUC
rnacentral:rRNA from 1 species